rnacentral:lncRNA from 1 species
UGUGUGUGUGUUCACACUGUUGUGUGUGUGUGUGUGUGUGUGUGUGUGUGUGUGUGUGUUCAGGCCUCACGCUUACGCUCACCUGGACAUUCCCAGCCCGCGGUACCUGGGUCCGGCCAUCUCGUCCGGCGCUGUGUAUCUGGCCUCGUCCUUCCAGAACAAGCUGCGAGUGAUCUGCUGCAAAGGAAACCUGAGUCAGGAGACAUCGAGUGCAGAGCCGCAGAGAAACGGCUCCACGCGCAGGAAGAAAGGUGCUUUCUUUAUUUGUGCGAGGGAGUGAGAGAUCAUGAGCGUUUUAACCUGUGAACCGUGUGAUGAAUAAAGUGUUUUUAAGGAGAAUAUCCUGAACCCCGCUCAGUGUCUGUGAGACGCUCUGAAAACUCAUUAUAUUCAGCUGUUUUCAGAAGAAAAUCUUCUUUUAUAAUGUUAUUUAAAUGUGUUGAAAGUACACAUGUGCUGGUAUUCGGUUAUGAGAUAUAUAUCACGGUGAUGAAUAUGCACGAUAUUGUCAAAAUACCGUGAAUAAUUAUUUAUUACUAAUUAUUCAUAUUUUUUUUAAAGCAUUUUAAGAAUAUUUUUCCCAUAGACUGGUCACAGUGCACCACACCGAUCCGAUGUUUUGAUUCGUUAAUGUUCGUUCACACUUUACAUUAAUGCUCUAUUAAUUAACAUUAGUUCAUUCAUUAGUAAACAUAAACUGCAAGUGAAAAAUUCUUCUAAAGAUCUAUUAAUCUUAUGUAAUUUCAAUAUUUAAUAACAUGUUGUUAAAAUCAACUUAUUUAAUGAACUCUAACAGUUGUAUUUUUCACCAAAGAUUAAUAACUUGUGUAGCAACGAUGGAGCUAUCGCUCAUUAUUAAUGUUAAUGCAUUAAUUAAGGUUAACUUAAUGUAAGUGUUAUUAUUGGUCUUUAUAAUUCUUUUGCCCUGUAAACUUUUUUGUGUAAUACUUUAUUGUAUGCAAAUGUUCAGUUCUUUUUGUUUUAAGAAAAAACUUUUCAAACCUGUUAUACUUCGACAAAACCUUUUUACAAUUAAAUUUCAAUACCGUGAUAAAAGCAUUAGCAAUUAAUGGCAACAUGCAGAUAUGAUGCAGUCACAUGCCUGGCUGAGAGUGUGUUAUUG